rnacentral:rRNA from 1 species
GUAUGAAAGUGGCGAACGGGUGAGUAACACGUAAGAAUCUACCUUUAGGACGGGGAUAACUUCUGGAAACGGAUGCUAAUACCCGAUAUGCUGUGGAGUGAAAGAAUUUCGCCUAAAGAUGAUCUUGCGUCUGAUUAGCUAGAUAGGGUGGUAACGGCACACUAUGGCGACGAUCAGUAGCUGGUCUGAGAGGGUGAACGGCCACACUGGGACUGAGACACGGCCCAGACUCC